rnacentral:lncRNA from 1 species
CUAGGCAAACAAAUCCAUCUGGGUUGCCAGAGAAGGCAGAGAAAAGCUCUAAUCUUCUAGAAGCAGCUGUUGGCCAAGCUGACAUUGAAAGGCAUUAUUUUUAAAAUGAAAGCUUCUGUGUGGGUGAUGAAAGCUGCUGCAUUUCUUGCUUUGGACUGGAAGUGCUUGUUGGUAGCCCAGACAGAGAUCAAAAUUAUUGAGUGCUGCAGAGCAAGAGUGAUAAGCAGGACCCUCUUCAGAAGGAAGAAGAGACUUCUACCCAUAUUCCAGUACCCAAAAGUCACCCCGGUCCCUUUGUUGUAGGGGGUUUAACUGUACAGGCAGAAGGAAGCACCACAAGUUUCAACUCUUUCUAUAUUUUGCAUUUGUUAAGGCUCAAGGGCAAUUGCCCUCUGCUCUCCAGUUCAUUUGCCAACAUCAUAGAUAGGGAAGAGGAGGUGGAAAAAGUGAAGAUGGGUCCAGAGCGCAGCAUUAAUCCUCACGUAUGAGCCUCAAGCCCCGACAACCCUGGUGCAUAAAGUCUCUUAUGCCUUUUAUCUCCGUGCCAGCCUGGGAUGUGGUUGGCACCUUCCAGGGGACAGAAGCAUCGAUAUGGGACUGAGCAACUGCUCGUGCACCUGCUGCCACCAGCCUGGUGGGCAACGGAGCUUUUUUUUGGAAGGAUGGGACAAUGCAUAGGGUCAGAGUAAGCUAGAAAAGUGUACUGAAUGAUAAAUUCAUUUGUGUGUGGAUGCUUUGUAGAGCAUUCCUUUCUUUAAUUACAGACAAAGUAAGGCUUAAUAUUAUUUAUUUAUGUGCAGGCUACAUGGCUUUUUUGUUUCCUUUCCUACUGCCUUGAUUUUUCCGGAAAUGAAGUGAGUGCCAGUGGGCUUGUUUUGCUGUGUGGCCCAGCAGGUGCUAGAUGCUGAAUGCACUGGAAACAUCCAGCUAGUGUUUAUGAUGUUGGCAAAGACAUUGCACCAAAACCUUAGCUUGUGUGAGACAGCACAGUGAAGUUUCUUUGUGUCAGCUGGGACAUUGAUCCAUUACAUUAAAGAUCUAAUCAGCAAUAGCUGAUUUAUGGUGAAACACUGCUGGACUGUUUUCAUGAAUGAAGUGUUUUAUUUGAUUUUUCUUUUCUUUCC